rnacentral:rRNA from 1 species
UACGACUACAUAUCAGGCAUAUCAAUAAGCGGAGGAAAAGAAACUAACUAGGAUUCCCUUAGUAACGGCGAGUGAAGCGGGAAGAGCUCAAAUUUGAAAUCUUCAAGGUUCUACCUUGACGAAUUGUAGUUUAAUAGAAGUGUUUUCUGUUAGUGGAGUUGGCUAAAAGUUCUUUGGAAUAGGACAUCAUAGAGGGUGAGAAUCCCGUAUUUGGUACCAUUCUCUCCUAGCUGUUGUGAUACACUUUCAACGAGUCGGAUUGUUUGGGAAUGCAGUCCAAAAUGGGUGGUAAAUUUCAUCUAAAGCUAAAUAUUGGCGAGAGACCGAUAGCGAACAAGUACCGUGAGGGAAAGAUGAAAAGAACUUUGAAAAGAGAGUUAAACAGUACGUGAAAUUGUCAAAAGGGAAGCGUUUGACACCAGUGUUGUUUUUCUCGAAAAUCAAUUAACGAAUGUUCGGAUUUUUGUAGUAGUUAUGACUUCAUCAGCUUUCUGCACUUUCUUUACUGUACUUUCUUAAUGCACUUUUCGUUUAACAAGUCAACAUCAAUUUCUUUUGUUGUAAAAGGGUACGAUGGAAGGUGGCUUUCAUUUUCGGAGAAAGUGUUUAUAGCCUUGUGCCUCUGCAAUCGGAGAGAUUGAGGUCUGCAGCGUAGAUCCUUCGGGGUUAGAUACAUUUGUGCUAAGUUAUAGCUUUUUCAUAGACAACAUUGUUGACUAUGAUUUAAGUCAUUGUAGCUUACUCGCUUAUGCUAUUUUACCUACGCUUAGGAUGUUGAACGCGCACAGAGUCUC